rnacentral:rRNA from 1 species
UACGUAGGGGGGCAAGCGUUGUCCGGAAUUAUUGGGCGUAAAGAGCGCGUAGGCGGUCCGGUAAGUCGGUUGUGAAAAGUCGGGGGGCUCAACCCUCGGAUGCCGAUCGAUACUGUCGGGCUAGAGUCCGGAAGAGGCGAGUGGAAUUCCUGGUGUAGCGGUGAAAUGCGCAGAUAUCAGGAAGAACACCCGUGGCGAAAGCGGCUCUCUGGAACGGUACUGACGCUGAGACGCGAAAGCGUGGGGAGCGAACAGG